CCUACGGGAGGCAGCAGUGAGGAAUAUUGGUCAAUGGACGCAAGUCUGAACCAGCCAUGCCGCGUGCAGGAAGACGGCUCUAUGAGUUGUAACCUGCUUUUGUACGAGGGUAAACGCAGAUACGCGUAUCUGUCUGAAAGUAUCGUACGAAUAAGGAUCGGCUAACUCCGUGCCAGCAGCCGCGGUAAUACGGAGGAUUCAAGCGUUAUCCGGAUUUAUUGGGUUUAAGGGGUGCGUAGGCGGUCGGAUAAGUUAGAGGUGAAAUCCCGAGGCCCAACUUCGGAAUUGCCUCUGAUACUGUUCGGCUAGAGAGUAGUUGCGGUAGGCGGAAUGUAUGGUGUAGCGGUGAAAUGCUUAGAGAUCAUACAGAACACCGAUUGCGAAGGCAGCUUACCAAGCUACUUCUGACGUUGAGGCACGAAAGCGUGGGGAGCAAACAGGAUUAGAUACCCUAGUAGUC
rnacentral:rRNA from 1 species